rnacentral:rRNA from 1 species
GAGUUUGAUCGUGGCUCAGGAUGAACGCUAGCGGCAGGCUUAAUACAUGCAAGUCGUGGGGCAGCAGGGUUGUAGCAAUACAAUCGCUGGCGACCGGCAAACGGGUGCGUAACACGUACGCAACCUUCCCGUUACUGUGGAAUAGCCCAGGGAAACUUGGAUUAAUACCACAUAUUAUAUUGAUAAGGCAUCUUAUUAAUAUCAAAGCUUCGGCGGUAACGGAUGGGCGUGCGGUUGAUUAGGUAGUUGGCGGGGUAACGGCCCACCAAGCCUACGAUCAAUAGCUGAUGUGAGAGCAUGAUCAGCCACACGGGCACUGAGACACGGGCCCGACUCCUACGGGAGGCAGCAGUAAGGAAUAUUGGGCAAUGGACGAAAGUCUGACCCAGCCAUGCCGCGUGAAGGAUUAAGGUCCUCUGGAUUGUAAACUUCUUUUCUCUGGGGCGAAAAACAUCUUUUCUAAGGUGCUUUGACAGUACCAGAGGAAUAAGCACCGGCUAACUCCGUGCCAGCAGCC